CAAGAAGAGUCAUACUAGUGGAUAUUUUCUUUGCUGGGACACGGUUGCGCUGAACCAUCUCGAGUAAGUGAUAUUUAUUAAUAUAUUGCGACAUUCACAAUAGCUAAACAUUGGCCUUUGUGGUUUUAUAAUCAUCAUGUUUAUUAAUUAUAAUGACGUUGUUUGAUAUUAGGACUAACGUUAACGUUAGUGCAACCAGAGACGUUUGUCAUUUUGUGCAACAGUUUGUGCAAAGUUAACGUUAUUGUUAGCUGUGAUGCUCAUAUGAGUCUGUAGCCUAUCUGAUUUAAAAUGGGAUAGCAAUUUCGGCAGAAUAUGUUAUGCGUCAACUUUUAUCGGCUGGAUUCUAGCAUCUAACUUUACGAUUGCCUCUGUUGGGUUUGCUUGAUCAACCAUCGUUUCGGGGACUCUGAUGACAGUGAAGAGCCAGAAAAUGGUGACUUUGCAUCUCUGAGGUACCUUUCAACUCGCCUGGUAUAUCAGUUGAAGCCUCAAGCCCAAGCCAAUUGCACUGGCAAACUCCACCAUCUGGCCGA